rnacentral:rRNA from 1 species
ACGAACGCUGGCGGCGUGCCUAAUACAUGCAAGUCGAACGGCUUUUCUAUGGAAGCUUGCUUCCACUGAGAAGAUAGUGGCGAACGGGUGAGUAACACGUGGGUAACCUGCCCAUAAGAGGGGGAUAACAUCCGGAAACGGGUGCUAAUACCGCAUAGUUUUCUUGAUCGCAUGAUUGAGAAAGGAAAGACGGCCUUUGUGCUGUCGCUUAUGGAUGGACCCGCGGCGUAUUAGUUAGUUGGUGAGGUAACGGCUCACCAAGACGAUGAUACGUAGCCGACCUGAGAGGGUGAUCGGCCACAUUGGGACUGAGACACGGCCCAAACUCCUACGGGAGGCAGCAGUAGGGAAUCUUCCGCAAUGGACGAAAGUCUGACGGAGCAACGCCGCGUGAGUGAAGAAAAGGUUUUCGGAUCGUAAAACUCUGUUGUCAGAGAAGAACAAGUUGGAGAGUAACUGCUCCAGCCUUGACGGUAUCUGACCAGAAAGCCACGGCUAACUACGUGCCAGCCGCCGC